GAUGAACGCUGGCGGCGUGCCUAAUACAUGCGAGUCGAGCGAACAGACGAGGAGCUUGCUCCGCUGACGUUAGCGGCGGACGUGAGAGUAACACGUGGAUAACCUACCUGUAAGACUGGGAUAACUACGAGAAACCGGAGCUAAUACCGGAUAAUAUAUUGAACCGCGUGGGUCAAUAGUGAAAGACGGUGUUGCUGUCAGUUAUAGAGGGAUCCGCGCUGCAUUAGCUGGUUGGGAAGGUAACGGCUUACCACGGCAACGAUGCGUAGCCGACGGGUGAGGGUGGUCGCCCGCCCGGGAGCUGGGACACGCACCAGGCGCCUGCGGGACGCCGCAGUCGCGAAUCUGCCGCAACGGUCGAGAGCAUGGCGGAGUGACGCCGCGCCAGUGAUGACGGUCUUCGGAUCGUGAAGCUCUGUUACGAGUGGAGAACAGAUGUCUCCGUAACUGUACCGGUCUUGACGGUAAUUAGUAAGAAAGCACCGGCUAACUACGUG
rnacentral:rRNA from 1 species